rnacentral:rRNA from 1 species
AGUGAACGCUGGCGGUAGGCCUAACACAUGCAAGUCGAACGGCAGCACAGUAAGAGCUUGCUCUUACGGGUGGCGAGUGGCGGACGGGUGAGGAAUACAUCGGAAUCUACUUUUUCGUGGGGGAUAACGUAGGGAAACUUACGCUAAUACCGCAUACGACCUACGGGUGAAAGCAGGGGAUCUUCGGACCUUGCGCGAUUGAAUGAGCCGAUGUCGGAUUAGCUAGUUGGCGGGGUAAAGGCCCACCAAGGCGACGAUCCGUAGCUGGUCUGAGAGGAUGAUCAGCCACACUGGAACUGAGACACGGUCCAGACUCCUACGGGAGGCAGCAGUGGAGAAUAUUGGACAAAGGGCGCAAGCCUGAUCCAGCCAUACCGCGUGGGUGGAGAAGGCCUUCGGGUUGUAAAGCCCUUUUGUUGGGAAAGAAAAGCAGCAGGUUAAGACCCCGCGGUUCUGACGGUACCCAAAGAAUAAGCACCGGCUAACUUCGUG